UUUUAAAAAACCCUCCUAUGCCUUUUCGGCUUUCAAGGUUUAAUUGUUUUAAACUGCUGCUUUUCACUGCUGUUUUAUUGCCUGUUUUUAUGUUACUAGUCUGUUUUUAUGGUGGCUGAUCUUGUUCAUUGCUCCAGGAACUAAUUACUUGAAUGGCAGUAUUUAAAUGUGCCACAUAAAGGCAUCUCUUCUUAAGGCAGGAAAUGCCGUCUUGGAGAGGGAAGGUUAAGCUCAGCUCUACAAUUGUGUGUUGUCAUUGGAACUCUGCAAAAUUGGCUGAAGACUCAUUCACUGCUCUUUUCAUUGGAGUGACUGAACUGUCUGCCUGUACCUGCCAAAAUAGGAAAAUUCCAAAGAAGACUCAAGAGCUGUUCACAUUUCUGCUACUGGAGCCAAAUGUAAAUAAAGCCAAAGGAAAUUAUGAUGAUGUUUAUUAUAUUUGAUCAGAUUACAAUUCAAAAGGCAUGCUGAAAAUGAGGUCGUAUGAAUGAUUAAAGAGUGAAUAUUAAGCAUAAAUAUCAUAACAUAGUCUGCUUACAAACUGCCAAAAUUCUUAAUCACAUGGGGGAAGAUGAUUAAAUGCCAUGUUUAUUUGAUCUAUAUAUUUUCUGUGAUUGCUGUAUUUGUCUGGUUGUGUCUUGUCCUUGUUAUGUUACUGUUUAAUUCAGCUACAUUCUACACCUUGAUGUUCCUUUAUUAAGGCUGAUAAAUGCUGAGCUUAUGAAGAUGAUCCCCUUACAUAAAACUGGGCAACCAUGGCCUCUUCUUCUUCCUGCAACCUCUCUAACUUGCCAUUCCCCCCAUGGCUGGGCUGCUGAUCAGAAAAAAGGAAAAGAAAUAAUAAGUAAAACAGGUGUAUGAAA